AUGGAGGGAGUAGUAAGCUGGGCCUCUGGGUCAACCAGCGGUCGGGCCAGAGCAUUCUGGCGCAGUGAGCGUCAAGUAGGAUUCCAUUUCGGCCCACGGACUCCUCCCCUCCCCGUCGUCCGGGUCUCCUCGUCUUCUCCACAGCCCACCCCGCAGUCUCGCUCUCGCGCACUGCCGCUCUCAAAAUUUCGCGACUCUCUCUCGCGUCUCUCCAUCGCCAUGGAGAUGGAGGCGAUGGGGAAGCAGCAGAGGGAGGAGGCGCUCCUCGGGGCCGCCGCCGCCGGCAACCUCCGCCUCCUCAAGAGUAACCCCGCCUCCUCCUCCUCCUCCUCAUGCUCUUUCUCCUUAGGGUUUGAUGAUGAGAUGGCGAGGUGGAUGGGCUCCGGCGGGCAAGGCGAGGCCGCCGUCCUGGCGGCGGUGGAGGACGGCCAAGGGGACCGCGCGCUGCACCUGGCGGCCGCGGCGGGGCGGCUCGAGGUCUGCAGGUACCUCGUCGAGGACCUCCGCCUCGAUGUCAAUCAGCUCAACUUCAUAGGUGACACGCCACUGUACCUUUCUGCCUCAUAUGGGAGAGCUGAUGCUGCAAGAUAUCUUCUUGAUCAUGGUGCUGAUCCACUAGCUGGCAAAGUACACUCACCUCUCCAUGGCGCUGCAAAGGAAGGUCUCUCUCUUUCCCAACAAAAAGCCACAUCGCUGGAUAUAAGCAGCAUUAGACUCCGACCAACAUGGCCCCGCAGCUGUGGGUUAGCAGGCAUAGGGAUCCUAACCGGUGGUAGGAGGCACCGCAUCAGCCUUAGAGAUAACUGGAUAAACCGUUUUCGUAAUGGUUUUGCUAAUUCUCGCCUCUCUCUGUUUGGUUUUGCCCCAUAUUGUUGUGAGAGAAGUUCUCUCUCUUUGAAUAAAGUAAGACAUUGUGAAAUAGUAGAACUGCUGCUUUCAAGAGGAAUCAAUGUGGAUUUAGAUUCUGCGCAAGGGACGCCAUUGCAUGCAGCUGCUAUUUCUAAACACCAUGACAUAAUUAAGAUCUUGUUGGAGCACCAUGCCGAUCCUAACAAGGUUUACGGUCUUGGUUAUGCCCCAUUGAGUUGGGCCAUCCGUGCCAUCAGGCCCAUGCCUAGAGAGCCGUUGGAAUGUGUCAAGCUACUUGUUAAGGCUGGUGCUGAUCUGAAUUUUAUUGACUUCGAUGGUGGUAGUUACGUGAUGUUGGCAGUGAAGUUUGACUCACCUGGCAUCAUGAAGUUCUUACUAGAUGCUGGUGCUAACCCCAAUAUUCCCGAUGAAUGUGGUAGGACACCAAUUGAAGUUGCUGCCUCUAAAGGCAGUAGGGACAUGGUUGAAAUGCUAUUCCCUUUAACUUCUCCUAUUUCAACGCUGCCGAACUGGAGUAUUGAUGGAAUCAUUUCUCAUGUGAAACACUUUGGUUUGAAGCCGAGGGAUAAAGAAAUGUACGCAAAGAGAAGAACUGAAGUUAAACGGAAAGCUUCUGAGGCUUUUAAGAGAGGGGACUAUUAUAUGGCAUCAGAGAUGUAUAGCUCUACAAGGGCAUUUGACCCUAGUCCGGAUGAGUAUGCAACCAUAUUGGCAAAUAUUAGUCUAUGCGCGUUGCGUGCUGGAAAUGGAAAAGCUGCUCUGUCUUAUGCUACCAUGUGCAGAAUGGGGCGACCUCUUUGGCCAAAAGCCUGCUACCGAGAAGGGGCAGCUCUUAUGUUAUUGAAGAAGUACGAGAGAGCAUGUGAGGCUUUUGCGGAUGGCUUGAAGCUUGACCCUACAAGUGGUGAUAUUGCAAAUGCUUUAAGGGCAAGUUGUACACAGAUUCCUGACAAUUCUCAUGUUCAAAAUAUUUUGGUCGCAGGGAAGCCCAAGAAGCAGCGAAGAAUGCUCGUCGCCGUGAAAAGUGGCCGACUGACAAGUCUUACAUGCAGAAUCCGAUGCUUUGUUUUGUUGCUGAGCACCUUUUGUCUAGUCUGA
rnacentral:rRNA from 1 species